CGACCGGCGCACGGGUGAGUAACACGUAUCCAACCUGCCGAUGACUCGGGGAUAGCCUUUCGAAAGAAAGAUUAAUACCCGAUGGCAUAGUUCUUCCGCAUGGUGGAACUAUUAAAGAAUUUCGGUCAUCGAUGGGGAUGCGUUCCAUUAGCUAGUUGGUGAGGUAAUGGCCCACCAAGGCAACGAUCGGUAGCCGGACUGAGAGGUUGAACGGCCACAUUGGGACUGAGACACGGCCCAGACUCCUACGGGAGGCAGCAUG
rnacentral:rRNA from 1 species